GUGCCAGCAGCCGCGGUAAUACGGAGGGUGCAAGCGUUGUUCGGAAUUACUGGGCGUAAAGGGCGCGUAGGCGGUGAUGUAAGUCAGACGUGAAAUACUUCGGCUCAACCGGAGAACUGCGUCUGAAACUGCAUUACUAGAGUACAGAAGAGGGAAACGGAAUUCCAGGUGUAGAGGUGAAAUUCGUAGAUAUCUGGAGGAACACCGGUGGCGAAGGCGGUUUCCUGGUCUGAUACUGACGCUGAGGCGCGAAAGCGUGGGGAGCAAACAGGAUUAGAUACCCUGGUAGUCCACGCCGUAAACGGUGGGUACUGGGUGUGGGAGGUGUAAUGCCUUCUGUGCCGAAGUUAACGCGUUAAGUACCCCGCCUGGGGAGUACGGCCGCAAGGUUGAA
rnacentral:rRNA from 1 species